UNGGAAAGUUCAGAACUCCUCGUACUGGG
rnacentral:piRNA from 1 species